rnacentral:rRNA from 1 species
AACGAACGCUGGCGGCAGGCUUAACACAUGCAAGUCGAGCGAGACCUUCGGGUCUAGCGGCGGACGGGUGAGUAACGCGUGGGAACGUGCCCUUCUCUACGGAAUAGCCCCGGGAAACUGGGAGUAAUACCGCAUACGCUCUUUGGGGGAAGGAUCUAUCGGUGAAGGAUCGGCCCGCGUUGGUUUAGGUAGUUGGUGGGGUAAUGGCGCACCAAGCCGACGAUCCAGAGCUGGUUGGAGAGGAUGAUCAGCGACACUGGGAUAGGGACCCGGCCCAGACGCCAGGGGGCGGCGGCAGUGGGGAAACUAUGGCAGGGGGGCAACCCUGAUCUAGCCGUGCCGCGUGAGUGAUGAAGGCCUUAGGGUUGUAAAGCUCUUUCAGCUGGGAAGAUAGUGACGGUACCGGCAGAAGAAGCCCCGGCUAACUCCGUG